GGGGAUUUAGCUCAGUGGUAGAGCGCUCGCCUAGCAAGUGCAAGGCCCUGGGUUCGGUCCCCAGCUCCG
rfam:Rattus norvegicus chromosome 2, whole genome shotgun sequence.